rnacentral:rRNA from 1 species
CUGGCGGCGUGCCUAAUACAUGCAAGUCGAACGGUCUUUCUAUGGAAGCUUGCUUCCACUGAGAAGAUAGUGGCGAACGGGUGAGUAACACGUGGGUAACCUGCCCAUAAGAGGGGGAUAACAUCCGGAAACGGGUGCUAAUACCGCAUAGUUUUCUUGAUUGCAUGAUUGAGAAAGGAAAGACGGCCUUUGUGCUGUCGCUUAUGGAUGGACCCGCGGCGUAUUAGUUAGUUGGUGAGGUAACGGCUCACCAAGACGAUGAUACGUAGCCGACCUGAGAGGGUGAUCGGCCACAUUGGGACUGAGACACGGCCCAAACUCCUACGGGAGGCAGCAGUAGGGAAUCUUCCGCAAUGGACGAAAGUCUGACGGAGCAACGCCGCGUGAGUGAAGAAAGGUUUUCGGAUCGUAAAACUCUGUUGUCAGAGAAGAACAAGUUGGAGAGUAACUGCUCCAGCCUUGACGGUAUCUGACCAGAAAGCCACGGCUAACUACGUGCCAGCCGCAGC